GGAUCCUGUACUGAGCUGCCCCGAGGUUCUUCAUUGCACCCGGCUCGGGGCAGCUCAGUACAGGAUGC
rnacentral:pre_miRNA from 12 species